CGUCGGUCUCCUCGCGACGAUAGAUCGAAAACUCCGCCAGGUCCGGAAGGAAGCAACGGUAUUGAUCGACUCGGGUGCCGAGGUCAGGCUGGCGGGC
rnacentral:SRP_RNA from 1 species